GUCUGUAUCAAAUGUGUCUCCUAUACCCUGAACGGUGAUAGGAGACACAAAUCCAAGUGCGUCAUACAGACGGUUUACAGUGGAAAGGAUUCCCCGCCGAGUGAAUGCUUUCCUCUCCUCUUGAACUUGAUCUGACCCCAAGCCUCAGGAAGCAUUUUGCA